rnacentral:rRNA from 1 species
UACAGAGGUCUCAAGCGUUGUUCGGAUUCAUUGGGCGUAAAGGGUGUGUAGGUGGCGCCGUAAGUCGGGUGUGAAAUUUCGGAGCUUAACUCCGAAACUGCAUUCGAUACUGCGGUGCUUGAGGACUGGAGAGGAGACUGGAAUUCAUGGUGUAGCAGUGAAAUGCGUAGAGAUCAUGAGGAAAACCAGUGGCGAAGGCGGGUCUCUGGACAGUUCCUGACACUGAGACACGAAGGCCAGGGGAGCAAACGGG